CUGCUUCCCUGAAUGGCCAGAUGUGUCUGGCCCUCUGGUAGGCUUUGUAGUGGUGCCAGUCCCGGAAAACUGGCACCCUAUUGGCCCUGGGGGAGGGACACAGGUGGGGGCUCUGAAAGGAGGGAGAUUCAACUUCUACGUAAAGGCAGUCGCUGGGCUUGCAAAAUCACUCCUUGCUGAGUUCAGACACUGAGAGAAAAGAGAAAACAAUUUAGUGAAAAGGAGGCUGAAAAGAAAAUUCUGGGGCAAAUCUCUGUAAGAUUUGAGAAUUCUCAAGGAUUGUAUAAUAAACAGUGAAUCAAAGAAACCAUCUGUAGCAGAGAACCAUCUCCAGUCCAUUAACUGCUGACUCCAAGCCAAUCACUUGUAAAAGUGAAUGUGCAUACAACAUGCAUCACUCUGAUUGCCAUGCAUUAGUACACAUUCUUCAGAAAGGACCCUUUUUUUUUUUUGCCUUCCCCACUUCUCUGCUAAAUAAAACAUGAUCACAAAAAGGAGGAAGGGGAAAACAAAUCACAAUCUAAUUAUCUUGUGUAUAUUGCGAAUUAAAGGCUUAGUACCUUGAA